rnacentral:piRNA from 1 species
CCGCAAUGAUGACACUAUAUUUG